rnacentral:snRNA from 1 species
GUUUUGAAAAAAAAAAAACAUAUAUUUGGAUCGAUACAGAGAAUAUUAGCAUGGCCCCUGUGAAAAGGAACCUGAUGGAUCUUCUCUGUCCCCACCCUGU